rnacentral:rRNA from 1 species
UACGUAGGUGGCAAGCGUUGUCCGGAAUUAUUGGGCGUAAAGCGCGCGCAGGCGGUUCCUUAAGUCUGAUGUGAAAGCCCACGGCUCAACCGUGGAGGGUCAUUGGAAACUGGGGGACUUGAGUACAGAAGAGAAGAGUGGAAUUCCACGUGUAGCGGUGAAAUGCGUAGAGAUGUGGAGGAACACCAGUGGCGAAGGCGACUCUUUGGUCUGUAACUGACGCUGAGGCGCGAAAGCGUGGGGAGCAAACAGG